GCAAUUCAGGGGGUGCGAGAAGUGACUGCUGAUCUGAAAGGGAUGCAUACAUUGAAAAAGGUUAAGAACCAUUGGCCUAGAAGGAGUCCACUCUCGUCUAACCACCACGGUACACCGUGCAGAUCAUUGCGUGGGAAGCAUUACAGCACCUUCCACAGACCCCACUGUCUCACCUUCUGCUUCCCUUUUACCUGUGCAGCGCGUCUCCGUCAGGCAGAUGGACAUUCCUGUGACGUUUUAAGGCGUCCACCUCCACGAAGAGAGCACAGCCCGCCCCCUCAGACGCUCAGCAUUCAUUUAAAUUCAUUGGGAAAAGAGUUGAGGAAGAAAGUAGCGGACGCAGAGUGUGGAGACAUGA